rnacentral:tRNA from 1 species
GCGGCUAUGGUGGAAUAGGCAGACACGCUGGUUUUAGGUACCAGUUCCCAGUGAGUGAGGGUUCAAGUCCCUCUAGCCGCACCA